rnacentral:sRNA from 1 species
CUUCUUCUAUUUGCUGAGGACAAAUAAAGUGAAUGUGGGCAUCGAUACCGCCCGCUGUCAGGAUACACCCCUCACCUGCCAAUAUUUCAGUGCCCGGACCAAUGACAAUAUCGACACCACUUUGCACAUCAGGGUUACCCGCCUUGCCUAUCGAUGAUAUCAAGCCAUCUUUGACUGCUACGUCGGCUUUUACUAUGCCCCAAUAAUCGAGAAUAACAGCAUUGGUGAUCACUAAGUCUGGUGUUUCAGCGCUGGGCCUCUGGCUUUGACCCAUACCGUCACGGG